CGUGGGUAACCUGCCCAAGAGACUGGGAUAACACCUGGAAACAGAUGCUAAUACCGGAUAACAACACUAGACGCAUGUCUAGAGUUUAAAAGAUGGUUCUGCUAUCACUCUUGGAUGGACCUGCGGUGCAUUAGCUAGUUGGUAAGGUAACGGCUUACCAAGGCAAUGAUGCAUAGCCGAGUUGAGAGACUGAUCGGCCACAUUGGGACUGAGACACGGUCCAAACUCCUACGGGAGGCAGCAGUC
rnacentral:rRNA from 1 species